rnacentral:rRNA from 1 species
UACAGAGGUCUCAAGCGUUGUUCGGAUUCAUUGGGCGUAAAGGGUGCGUAGGCGGCGCGGUAAGUCGGGUGUGAAAUCUUGGAGCUUAACUCCGAAACUGCAUUCGAUACUGCCGUGCUUGAGGACUGGAGAGGAGACUGGAAUUUACGGUGUAGCGGUGAAAUGCGUAGAUAUCGUAAGGAACACCAGUGGCGAAGGCGACUACCUGGCCUGUUCUUGACGCUGAGGCGCGAAAGCUAGGGGAGCAAACGGG